UCAUUAAUUUUUAUUAAGAGUGGAAAU
rnacentral:piRNA from 1 species